AUGCAGGAGUGUGAUUUAAAGUUGACGGAUGGCCAAGCGGUUGAUAUGUUGAUGGUAUGGAAUGUUGAAACAGAAAUCACAGCACUGAAGCAGCUUUUAGUGAGCAAAUACAUCAUGUCUUGGUUUCCUGCCACAAUCACACUGAUGAUAAUAUGCUCAAAAUGUGUGAAUGCUCUGACUUUGAAUCAGCCUUCGUCGGUUACAUCCUCAGCUGGGGACACUGUCACACUCCCAUGUACCGGCAGUGAAAGCAUUAGCAGCUAUUAUGUACACUGGUACCAGCAGAAGGCAGGAAAAGCCCCUCGCCUUCUCAUCUAUGAAGAUAGUAGCAGAGCCUCAGGAAUUCCAGACCGGUUCUCUGGUUCUGGUGCUGACAGCUCCAGUAACACAGCAAAGGUUACCAUCACAGGGGUCCAGACAGAGGAUGAUGCUGAUUAUUACUGUCAAGUGGGAGACAGCAGUAACAACGUACACAGUGAUACAGUUAGAGAGGGAACUGAAACAAAAACCUCCUGGGUUAAAGAAUUUGUGCAGUUGCAUCCAACAAUGAAAUUAACUUUAUAA